rnacentral:rRNA from 1 species
UUAGAUACCCUAUUAGUGUAUUUGAUGUUUAGUAGUAAGUGAAAGACAUGAAACUAAAAUUAAUUGGCGGCUUUUGAACUAUAUUAGAGGAAUUUAUCCUGUAAAGGAUGAGACACCAAAAUCUUACUUUUUUUUGAAAAUUUUUCAGCUUGUAUAUCGCUAUUAAUUAAAAAUAUGAUGAAGUAUUUUUUUCAAUCAAGAAAAGUUUGAGGGUUUUUAGGUCAAGGUACAGCUUAUGAAAAAGAUUGAGAUAAAUUAUUUUAAUUUUUAUUUAACAAGAUUUAUUAUGAAAAUUCUAAAUUUAGAAAAAUUUAAAAGUAAAGUUUAUUUAAGAAGUAAAUUUGAAUAAGGGAAUCAAUUGUGUACAUAUUGCCCGUCGCUCUCCGAAGGAGAUAAGUC